AAAAAGAGUCGGAGCACUUAGUGGAGGUCCGGAGCCAAGUGGCUGAACGAAGGAGAGUUACGUCGGCUAACUGCUUGCCUGUCCUCCGGAGAGCUGCUACGAGGUUCGGCAUCGGCAUGCUCCACCUUGAUACACAGAGCAACGGUCAGGUUUUUUAGAGGACUGAGAGUCUGAGGUUCAGGACAACUUCCUGCUGUGAAAGAUGGCGAGCCAACUACCCUGAUUGAAGAUUAGCACCGAGGAGAUAUUCACGUACACACUCAUUCACACAAAUAAUACACUCACAUUACACUACAAGGAACCUUGGAAUCAGGUGAACUUUCAACAACUCCUUUUAUUUUAAGGGCCCCAACAGACAUUUUUGUUUUAAGUGUGCACA